rnacentral:rRNA from 1 species
AGAGUUUGAUCCUGGCUCAGAACGAACGCUGGCGGCGUGCCUAACACAUGCAAGUCGAGCGAGAAAGUCCGCAAGGAUGAGUAAAGCGGCGCACGGGUGCGUAACACGUGGGUAAUCUUCCCUGGAGCCCGGAAUAACUCCCCGAAAGGGGUGCUAAUACCGGAUAAGACCACGGGAUCUUCGGAUCCUGAGGGAAAAGGCGGCCUCUGUACACAAGCUGUCACUCCAAGAUGAGCCCGCGGCCCAUCAGCUAGUUGGCGGGGUAAUGGCCCACCAAGGCUACGACGGGUAGCUGGUCUGAGAGGACGAUCAGCCACACUGGAACUGAGACACGGUCCAGACUCCUACGGGAGGCAGCAGUGGGGAAUCUUGCGCAAUGGGCGAAAGCCUGACGCAGCAACGCCGCGUGUGUGAUGAAGGUCUUCGGAUCGUAAAGCACUGUCGGGAGGGACGAAUAAGGUGGCGGCUAACAUCCGUCGCUGAUGACGGUACCUCCAAAGGAAGCACCGGCUAACUCUGUGCCAGCAGCCGCGGUAAUACAGAGGGUGCAAGCGUUGUUCGGAAUUAUUGGGCGUAAAGCGCGUGUAGGCGGCCAGGCAAGUUGGGUGUGAAAGCCCUCGGCUUAACCGAGGAAGUGCGCCCAAAACUACUUGGCUUGAGUACCGGAGAGGGUGGCGGAAUUCCCGGUGUAGAGGUGAAAUUCGUAGAUAUCGGGAGGAACACCAGUGGCGAAGGCGGCCACCUGGACGGAUACUGACGCUGAGACGCGAAAGCGUGGGGAGCAAACAGGAUUAGAUACCCUGGUAGUCCACGCUGUAAACGAUGAGCGCUAGGUGUUGUGGGUGUUGACCCCCGCAGUGCCGCAGCUAACGCAUUAAGCGCUCCGCCUGGGAAGUACGGCCGCAAGGCUAAAACUCAAAGGAAUUGAUGG